rnacentral:lncRNA from 13 species
AUGGAUGAAUGCUGGACAUACUGGCAGAGCACCUUCAUUCAGGAAGCAAAGAACUGUGGAUACAAACAAGCUUUAAAUUUGGUUUGCUAUAUGCAGAAGACUCAAACUAGACCCCUAUCUCUCACUAUGUUAAAAAAUAAAAAUUAACUCAAGAUGCAUUAAGGACUUAAGUGUAAGACCUCAAAAGUCCCAGAAGAAAACAGAAAAAGACUCUUCUGGACAUUGGCCUAGGCAAAAAAUUCAUGACUAUGACCUCUACAGUAAAUGCAACAAAAACAAAAGUAGACAAAUGGAACUCAUUAAACAAACAAACAAACAAAAUAAACAAGCAAAGCCUGUGCA